rnacentral:scRNA from 1 species
GUUUCGUGCAGCGUUGCUUCGCUCGGAUAUCC